ensembl:lncRNA
GCCCCAGCUCCUGCGUGAGGGGACGCAGCACACAGACUCAGUACAGAGGGGUGUGGAGGCGACCUGGAGGCGACCUUUUGAACCCUGAAGAUGCGGGGGUUCCUGGCUGGGUGGAGCUUAUCAGAAGACAAGAGAAAAACCCUGCCAAAGAAGGCAGCUCCGCAGCGGCUGAGCCCCCACUCACCAGGCGGCCGCGAGCUCUGGCUCCCGCGGGAAUCUGGCCAGGUGGGAGGGGUGGGGUUGGAAAGGGGCGAGGGUAGACCGCUGAGCGUCCAGCAAGGAAGAGGCGGGAGCCAGCUUUCCCUGUUUGCCUCGUGGCCUUGUGUAACACACAGGAAUACAAAGCCCGCGGCAGUCUUCGGGAGCCCUAAGGGGGAGCCUGCUGCCAUUACUAUCAAGUGUAAGUGGGCAUGGUCUUUUUUAAAAAAAAACUAAAGUUACUUUCAUUCGGGCACCCUGCAUUUAUUGACCACCUACUGCGUGCUGGCUUAAAGAGCAAGGCCCGCCCUGGCAGGUGCAUCUGGCCCUGCCCCCGCCACACCCGGCGCCUCCUUGCCUGGACAGCCCGGGCAGCACCCACUCACUCGCUCACUCGUGACUCAGCACAUUCCCGGUUCCCGGGGCCAGGCGGGGCGCAGCGGGUGAGCAAAUCCAAAUCCACCCUGGCUGCCGCCCCCCUCCGUGCCGAGUGCCUGCUGCUCUGGGCCCCACAGCCCCGCGGGGUCCUCCUUGCUCGCCCCAUGGGUCCGGAACCCCCACCCCCUUCCACCGGCUCUGCUGGUGCUGCCCUGCACCACUGUCCACUCCCCCAUCCGCGGUGGGAAGACAAAGGGCGCCAGGUCGGGACAGCUCCCAAAGGGAGGAUGGUAAGACCAGUGAGACCCUCCCAGCCCAGGGCCAGCGAGGCCUUCUUCACGGGUGACCAGAUCUCCCCGGGGGAAAGUCAGCGUCGUGGGAGUUGGCCGCCGUUGCUCUUUCCCACUGUUCCCAAAAUGGGGCCACUUGGGGGCCGGCGCUGUGGCGUGGCAGGUGAAGCCGCCGCCUGCAGUGCCAGCAUCCCAUAUAGAUGCUGGUUCGAGUCCUGGUUGCUCCGCUUCCGAUCCAGCUCUCUGCUGUGGCCUGGGAAAGCAGCAGAAGAUGACCCAAGUGCUUGGGCCCCCUGCACCCGCAUGGGAGACCCAGAAGAAAGCUCCUGGCUCCUGGCUUCAGAUUGGCCCAGCUCCAGCUUUUGUGGCCAUUUGGGGAGUGAACAAGUGGAUGGAAGACUCUCUCUCUCUGUAACUCUGAUUUUCAAAUAAAUAAAUAUAGCAAAUUGCGGCCACUUGGACCUUUACCUGGCUACACCAGCUAAGGCGGCAGUGGCACAGGCAGCAGGCCUGCUCACCGGGCGUGGAGCCGGCAGCGCCUGCAAGUCUCUUCCUCCACCCCCACCACCCUCAGCAUCCUCCGGGGGUCCCAGGCCCUGACCUCCAGACACCCGCGUUCACGUGUGACCCAAGCCCGGCCAAUCACAGAACCUGCACUCUGGCCGCAGGGACUGGGCCCGGCCAAUCACAGAACCUGCACUCUGGCCGCAGGGACUAGGUCAUUCUGAGAGCACGUGAUCAGAGCUGAGCCAAUCAGAGCCCUCCGUGGCCCAUCCCGAAUCCACUGGCCAGGGGCUUCCUCUGCAGCCGAAGCUCCCAUUCGGGCGAGGCUGUGAGGACGGGGAGGCGGAGCUGAUGGCGGUGUCGUGGCUGAGGGGGUGGCUCACGAGACAGACACAGAGAGCCGACUUUAGACCCCUGGCCCUCUCUUGCCAUGUGUUUGGGAGAGAGGUGAGUGGGCAGUUUCCAGGCAGCGCCAGGAGACCGAGCUGCGUUAGCCCUGUUGCUGGGAGGAGCGGGGGUGGCCAGGGUUGGAGUCAGCAGCACAGCGGGCAGGGGGUGCCAGCCAGCACCGGGGAGACCAACGGGAGCAGACGCGGACCCGGCCAGGAAACGCAGCAAACAGCCUGUACCAGCAGGCCCCGCUGAUCGCUUUCUCCAGCUGUUAAAAUCGUAGUAACCCGGCCGGCGCCGCGGCUCACUAGGCUAAUCCUCUGCCUGCGACACCGGCACCUCGGGUUCUAGUCCUGGUCAGGGCGCCGGAUUCUGUCCCGGUUGCCCCUCUUCCAGGCCAGCUCUCUGCUGUGGCCCGGGAGUGCAGUGGAGGAUGGCCCGAGUGCUUGGGCCCUGCACCCCAUGGGAGACCAGGAGAAGCACCUGGCUCCUGCCUUCGCAUCAGCACAGUGUGCUGGCCGUGGCGGCCAUUGGAGGGUGAACCAACGGCAAAGGAAGACCUUUCUCUCUGUCUCUCUCUCUCACUGUCCACUCUGCCUGUCAAAAAAAAUCGCAGGAAUCCAGACAACGCUGCCUGUGAAAGCUUCACCAUCUCAAGUGUGGUUCAGCGGUUCCGAACGCAGUCACAGCAGGUGCCGGGCGAGUAGCCGGGCUGCAGUCCGCGACGUGGGAGGCCCGGGCCCCGUUCCUCUGGCGGGCGUCUGUCUGCCUCUCUCUGUCUCUCAGACGAAUAAAUACGUCUUUCUUAUAUGGGGGGGGGGUGCC